GCAAGAAAACAAAUUUUAAAAAAAGAAAACUAAGAAUAGUAUGCUUCCUUCUGUAUUUAGAUGACAUCAGUUCUUUCUCUGGAGGAGGAUAGUAUUUUUCAUCACGAAUCCUUUGAGAUUGUCUUGGAUCAUUGUAUGGCUGACAAUAGAGAGCUGGCUGUUAAAUAUUUACCAGCACAUUACUGACUGAAGCUAAUCUUAGAUGUCAAACUAAACAUGGACUUGGAAGCCAUCUACAAGGUAGCCAAGGCUCUUACCAGCUAAGAAAAGAACUAAGAUAUUUUCUAUUAUUUACUUCCUGUAAAAUCACCUCUGCCAGUCUCCCAAAUAAUGUAAAUCUAUCCAAAAUUAAAAAAAAAA